rnacentral:sRNA from 1 species
AUGGAUGACGAGGUUUCAAGAAGUUCUAUGUCUGAUAGAGAGUCUUCCUCUAGCCCCGAGAGACCAAGCAGGGGCAGAGCCAGAGGGAGAGCCAGGGCUAGAGGUAGAGCAAGAGGGCAGGGUCCAGCUCGGAGACGGGGUGCUAGAGCUAGAGGAAUAUGCAGGGGGCCAAACAGACACGAGACGCUCAGACAGCGUGUAAUAGACCGAAAUCUUCAACUAAGGAAUCGUGUUGCCGAGAUGACGGAGGAUGCAUUGAGAGAAUUAGUGAUGAGCGUCUGUGAGAGAGACCCAUCACUAAUUCUCGACAUCGUCGAUCGGGCAUCUCAAGCUGAAGCCGCUCAAGGUGGAUAUCAUCCACUGCCCGGAAGCAAUUCCCCCAAUUGGUGUGUGUGCAGCAAGUGUCUGGAGAUGCCCACCGAGGAGGAGAGGGUGUGCUGCAGGCAAACACCUUCCAACUGCCUCUCUACUUUGCCAGACUUUGACCUGAUAGUUCUAGACCCAUUAGUUUUGAUGGUAGCUCGUCGGUACAGACAGGAUGUCCUUGCUGCUGGUGAGGACGACGACUUUAACCGGAGCAAUCGCCACGCAGGAUAUACCGGCAGUUUAUCCUCUGGCAGCAUGGGCAUUUGGGGGCAGGAAACCGCCGUGUCAUUCCAAGCUGCUGCACCUGGAGGAUAA